AAUAUUUCUCCUAACUCUCUC
rnacentral:siRNA from 1 species